GACGAACGCUGGCGGCGUGCUUAACACAUGCCAGUCGAGCGGAAAGGCCCUUCGGGGUCCUCGAGCGGCGAAGGGGUGAGUAACACGUGAGUAACCUGCCCCAGACUUUGGGAUAACCCUCGGAAACGGGGGCUAAUACCGGAUACGACACAGCUUCGCAUGGGGUCUGUGUGGAAAGUUUUGCGGUUUGGGAUGGGCUCGCGGCCUAUCAGCUUGUUGGUGGGGUGAUGGCCUACGAAGGCGACGACGGGUAGCCGGCCUGAGAGGGCGACCGGCCACACUGGGACUGAGACACGGCCCAGACUCCUACGGGAGGCAGCAGUGGGGAAUAUUGCACAAUGGGCGGAAGCCUGAUGCAGCGACGCCGCGUGAGGGAUGACGGCCUUCGGGUUGUAAACCUCUUUCAGCAGGGACGAAGCGUAAGUGACGGUACCUGCAGAAGAAGCGCCGGCCAACUACGUG
rnacentral:rRNA from 1 species